CCGCUUCCUCCAAGCCAUAUUCCUUUAAGAUGAUGUAAUAGUCAUUUCCCUGGAUGGUUUCUUGCCUGCACUGCUGAAACAACAGCAUCCUAACUGCACUGGGAACUGUGGAACCACCCAGAGCCGCCGCCGCCGCCGAGAAGCCGGAGCCCGAGCCCCCCGACCGCAUCUCUGCGCAGCGGCGGCUGCCGGCUCCCACCUGGCUGGGAACAUGGGAGUCCGCUUGCCCUUGCCGGCAGCUCCAGACUGUGUGUGGCUGUGGAUUUGGACGGCUUCGCAAAUGGGUAUUUCUUCACAAGAACUGUGUUUCCAGCAUUCGCUAAGACAGACCUCUCAGUAACUGGGGACCUGGCCUGCCCUGCCUACUGAGCUUGGGGGAAGAUCAGGUGGAGAUGAGUUGAUUAUAUUCCAUGAAGUAAUAGCUCCUCACCUGCCAGGGUUUAAACUACUUUUGCAGCAUCGCUUCACCUGUGGACUCUUUGAAAUUUUGCUUUCUUGGGAAAAAAAAAAAAAACAAAAAACGGGGUAAGAGGAGGUUGUUUUGAACAAGUUAGCGUCUUUUCCCUCCCUUCCAAGUUGAUACAAAGGAGCAGGCUGUGACUCCAUUGGAUUUUGCACCUUCACAUCAAAAU
rnacentral:lncRNA from 1 species